GACGAACCGUGCGAACGUUAUUCGGAAUCACUGGGCUUAAAGGGCGCGUAGGCGGGCCAUAAAGUCAGGGGUGAAAUCCUCCAGCUUAACUGGAGAACUGCCUUUGAUACUGAUGGUCUCGAGUAAGGUAGGGGCAUGCGGAACUGAUGGUGGAGCGGUGAAAUGUGUUGAUAUCAUCAGGAACUCCGGUGGCGAAGGCGGCAUGCUGGACCUUCACUGACGCUGAGGCGCGAAAGCUAGGGUAGCGAACGGG
rnacentral:rRNA from 1 species